rnacentral:rRNA from 1 species
CCUACGGGUGGCUGCAGUGGGGAAUAUUGGACAAUGGGCGAAAGCCUGAUCCAGCCAUGCCGCGUGUGUGAAGAAGGCCUUCGGGUUGUAAAGCACUUUCAGUGGGGAAGAAAGCCUUGGGGCUAAUACCCUCGAGGAAGUACAUCACCCACAGAAGAAGCACCGGCUAACGCCGGGCCAGCAGCCGCGGUAAUACGGAGGGUGCGAGCGUUAAUCGGAAUUACUGGGCGUAAAGCGCGCGUAGGCGGUCUGAUAAGCCGGUUGUGAAAGCCCCGGGCUCAACCUGGGAACGGCAUCCGGAACUGUCAGGCUAGAGUGCAGGAGAGGAAGGUAGAAUUCCCGGUGUAGCGGUGAAAUGCGUAGAGAUCGGGAGGAAUACCAGUGGCGAAGGCGGCCUUCUGGACUGACACUGACGCUGAGGUGCGAAAGCGUGGGUAGCAAACAGGAUUAGAUACCCGAGUAGUC